rnacentral:rRNA from 1 species
AGCAGCCGCGGUAAUUCCAGCUCCAAUAGCGUAUAUUAAAGUUGCUGCAGUUAAAAAGCUCGUAGUUGAAUUUCGGGACCAAUAUGUCGGUCGUGCCUCGGUACGUACUGGCAUCGUUGGUUUCUCCCUUCUGACGAACCAUGAUGUCAUUUAUUUGGUGUCGUGGGGAAUCAGGACUGUUACUUUGAAAAAUUAGAGUGUUUAAAGCAGGCUCACGCUUGAAUACGUUAGCAUGGAAUAAUGAAAUAGGACGUUUGAUUCUAUUUUGUUGGUUUCUAGGAUCGACGUAAUGAUUAAUAGGGAUAGUUGGGGGCAUUAGUAUUCAAUUGUCAGAGGUGAAAUUCUUGGAUUUAUUGAAGACUAACUACUGCGAAAGCAUUUGCCAAGGAUGUUUUCAUUAAUCAAGAACGAAAGUUAGGGGAUCGAAGACGAUCAGAUACCGUCGUAGUCUUAACCAUAAACUAUGCCGACUAGGGAUCGGAUGAUGUUAAUUUUUUAAUGUACUCA